AUGAAGCCAGCGAGGAUGUUCCCGUGCCGGCCGCUGGUGUCCCCGCAGCUGCCGCGGGCCCUCGCAGCCGCGGCGCAUGUCUCCGUGCGGCGGCUGCCGUGGCCGUCGACGUCGCUGCGCGUGGUGUGGUGCAUGCCCAAGGAGCGGCGGGUGCGGAUGGUGGCAAAGCAGAUCCAGCGGGAGCUGGCGGACAUGUUAACCCGCGACCCCGUCAUGCCGCGCGCCGUCCUCCCCGAGGCCGCCCUCGGCGCCGACCGCUACCUCUCCUCCGUCACCACCGUCGCGGACGUGUGCAAGGUGUAUGUGUCCGUGUUCGGGGACGAGAGGGGGAAGAAGGUGGGCAUGGCCGGGCUCAAGGACAAGACCAAGUACGUCAGGAGCCAGAUUGGCAAGCGGAUGAAGCUGCGCCUCACGCCCGAGAUACGGUUCAUCGAAGACGAGUCCAUGCAGCGCGGAAGCAGGUCUUUUAUGGGAGUAUGUACUUCUCUUAUCUAUUAUGGGAGUAUAAACUUAAUAGACAGAAUAAAGAGAAGAGAGUGUACUUAA
rnacentral:rRNA from 1 species